rnacentral:rRNA from 1 species
GACGAACGCUGGCGGCGUGCUUAACACAUGCAAGUCGAACGAUGAUGCCCAGCUUGCUGGGUGGAUUAGUGGCGAACGGGUGAGUAACACGUGAGUAACCUGCCCCUGACUCUGGGAUAAGCGUUGGAAACGACGUCUAAUACUGGAUAUGACUGCCGGCCGCAUGGUCUGGUGGUGGAAAGAUUUUUUGGUUGGGGAUGGACUCGCGGCCUAUCAGCUUGUUGGUGAGGUAAUGGCUCACCAAGGCGACGACGGGUAGCCGGCCUGAGAGGGUGACCGGCCACACUGGGACUGAGACACGGCCCAGACUCCUACGGGAGGCAGCAGUGGGGAAUAUUGCACAAUGGGCGAAAGCCUGAUGCAGCAACGCCGCGUGAGGGAUGACGGCCUUCGGGUUGUAAACCUCUUUUAGUAGGGAAGGAGCGAAAGUGACGGUACCUGCAGAAAAAGCACCGGCUAACUACGUGCCAGCCGCCGCGGUAA